GACGAACGCUGGCGGCGUGCUUAACACAUGCAAGUCGAACGCUGAAGCUCAGCUUUUGUUGGGUGGAUGAGUGGCGAACGGGUGAGUAACACGUGAGUAACCUGCCCCCUUCUUUGGGAUAACGCCCGGAAACGGGUGCUAAUACUGGAUAUUCACUGGUCUUCGCAUGGGGGUUGGUGGAAAGGGUUUUUCUGGUGGGGGAUGGGCUCGCGGCCUAUCAGCUUGUUGGUGGGGUAAAGGCCUACCAAGGCGACGAUCUGUAGCUGGUCUGAGAGGACGACCAGCCACACUGGGACUGAGACACGGCCCAGACUCCUACGGGAGGCAGCAGUGGGGAAUUUUGGACAAUGGGCGAAAGCCUGAUCCAGCAAUGCCGCGUGUGUGAUGAAGGCCUUCGGGUUGUAAAGCACUUUUGGCGGGAACGAAAAGGACUGUGCCAAUACCACGGUUCGAUGACGGUACCCGCAGAAUAAGCACCGGCUAACUACGUG
rnacentral:rRNA from 1 species